GGUUGGGCCAGUCCUAAUGUAACUAAGGUUUCUCGAACCAAAUUAAAAUCAGUUUUACAAUUCUGUUAAAUGUAACUAAGAUUUCUGGGCCCAAAUUAAUUUAAGUCUGUUUAGACCUAGGUGAUUUCCGUCGUGUCCCAUCAAACCAUCUCUUUAUUCUCUGAUCAAAAAAAUUGGUCUCAUCUCUUUCGACCGUAUUAACUGCUCUAGCUCUCUCUCGAGUCUCAAUCAAUCAUUAACAACACUCUGUUUCUAAUCACAUUUUCGUCUUCAAUCGACGGUAAGCUCUGGUUUGCUAUCAAUCAUUUUUGAUUCGUAUUUUUUUUAUAUUAAAUCUAUAACUUUUGUUUAUAUCUAUAUAAGUUUCUCAAUCAUAAAUGCACAAACGCAACAGGUUAGUUUGCAUCAAUCAAUUCAGUAAUUGUUCUUUUUUAUGAUGUUGUUUUUAGACGACAAUUUGAUUCAUGAAUACUAUUAGAAUCACCACUUGAACCAAUUAGAAUUUGCAAAUUUUGCGAAAACCCUAGACUUAAUUUGCAAAUUUUUGAAUACAUGUUAAGAGUAGUGAUAUAUUUUAGUACCACAGAUUAACCAAACGCUAACUUCCCCAUCAUCACCUUUUCGUUUGUGUAGGUGGUCGGAUAAAAGGUCCAUCACUCAUCUCUUUGCUCUCGUCCAUUUUUUUUGCAUCGAAAUUACUUAGGUAUUAAAGAUUUCAAUAGUUAAAGUACUCACGAUUCUGUUACUCUUUUCUUUUACAUGGACUGAUUGUGAUGACUAAUUACUUUGUAGUUAGAUUUGAAUAGUUGAAGGUUCUGGCAUGUAUACCUUUCCAACAAGUAGUAGUAGAUGGUUAGAUAUUGUCGUUGUAGGGGUACUUUAUACAACAUACAUGUGGCACCAUCUCUACCGUCUAUCAUGGUGCCACAUGUCAACAUCUAAUGGGCUCUCUGUUGAUGGCACAAGUUACAAAGUUAAGCCUUAUUAUUACAAAGAUAUUUUCCCCAUUAUUACCCUAUUAAUUGCUAAGAAUGGAGUUACAUUGUAGCCUAUAAAUAUAAAGGCAAACUACUCAUCUUCUCAUGGUCUCAUUGUGAAUCAUACACAAGACCUCAACACUCUCUCAUGAGACCUCACCUCUCAGGUCUCAUCUCUCUCUUGAGCUCUCUCCAUUAUCGAGCUCCCAUUUUGUAUCACCACUACUAUAAUAAAGUUCAUUCUCUCUCUCUCUCUCUCUCUCUCUCUCUCUCUCUCUCUCUCUCUCUCUCUCUCUCUCUCUCUCUCUCUCUCUCUCUCUCUGUGGAUGUAGGCACAAUUGCUGAACCACGUAUACAAUGGUGUUCACGUCUCUACUUUAUUAUUGUUCAUAUCAUACACAUCAUCAUCUUUCAUUAAUGUAUUGACCAACCUCACAAAUAUGGUUAAUACAUUUGGCGCCGACUACAGGGACUUGGGAUUUUCUCAAGCGAAUUCCACCCACCAACCCCACCGAACACCAUUGUUCUAAGGUUCUCAGAUGGUGAUUUUCAAGAAAUUCAUUGAAUUGGAAAAGAUAGAAUUGCAACUCACAGUUGGGGGCUUGGAGCAAAUUGUUUACACAAUUACUGGACUCGACAGAAGCAAGAUAAGUAUCACUUUAAUAUUUUUUGGUGAUUGAAAUGAGGCACCGAGCUAUCAAGGAGCGACCUCAUCAUCUACUGUUUAUUCUACACAGUUUCACAUAUAUUUAUAUGGUGAUAUAUUUUCAUGUACAAAUAUCAGUUUACGUUCUCAUUAUAUUGAUAUGUUUAAUUAUCAAUUCAACAUGUGGCCAUGGUUCAACAACUUAUUAUAUUUUCAUGUACAAAUAUCAGUUUACGUUCUCAUUAUAUUGAUAUGUUUAAUUAUCAAUUCAACAUGUGGCCAUGGUUCAACAACUUAUUUCAGAUCCAUUUGCCAUGCCACAUCAAUUCUCGUGGUUAUCUACAAAAAACCAUGGAAUGGAUUCAGUUACUGAUUCACAUUUUUUACCUUGGUUAUAUAGUCUUUCAAGUUCAGGUCUCUCAUCGUGACCUCGACAGGUCUACCAACGAUCUCUCAGGUCUCGUCGCGACCUCACCAGGUCCUUCAUACCAGGUCUUUCAUGCCAGGUCCUUCAUGCCAGGUCCUUCAUGCCAGGUCCUUCAUGCCAGGUCCUUCAUACCAAGUCCUUCAUACCAAGUCCUUCAUACCAGGUCCUUCAUACCAGGUCCUUCAUGCCAGGUCCUUCAUACCAGGUCCUUCAUAGCAGGUCCUUCAUCGCGACCUCACCAGGUCUAUCAACGACCUCCUCAAAUUACAGGUCUUUCAACGACCUCAAGAAUAUUUAUGCCAUACAGGGGGCUAUUCUCACUUUAUCUAAUGAAAUUAACUUAUUAUUAGCACAAUUAGCUAUUAAUGAUAUUUUUUUUUGUAGCUCUCUCUAUGUGCAGGUCACAUGAACACGACCUCACUCCCCAUGAGCUAUUUUUGCACAAAUGUGCCACAUUGCUUUCACUGAACUCUUUACAAGUGAAAUGCUUGAUAUACAAUACGGCCACCCUCAUUGACUAGUGAGUCACUCGUAUGCGGGACGACCUCAAACACAAUUCUCUAGCCACACGCCUGGUCGAACACAUUCACUCUCAACGCAAUGCAGACCCACAAAGGCCACAUGCCCGAGAAUUGUCAAACAGGUCUCCACGCUGCGACCAUUCACUAGAUCGGGCAGCAAAAGGUUCCAAGUAACUCUCAAAACACUUGGUCAACCAAUGCUCUUUCUCAAACGAGCUACAUGUGCACUCCAAAGUGCCACAUCUAUCGGAAUGUCCAAUCACAAGGCGACAAAGAUAGUACAUACAAAACUCAUAAGGAAGACAUACAGUUCAGUGUAAGUAUCUUACUAAAUUUUAUAAUAUUUCACAUCCUAACAUUAUCAACAAGUAUAAGGUCUAUGCAACUCGACCACAAAAAGACAACCACCCAUGUAUGCAAGAAGACCCACUUCAGUACGACCUGCUUGCAGCUGUCCAUCUCGUCUACAUGCCUUCUGAACGAGCUACCAGGUCUCCCUGGAACUAACUAGCUCGCUAUACACAAAUUCAUGAUCGAGUUGCCAUUACCACAAGGGACCUUCAUCGCGUCCUGCAAAUCUCAAUGAUCAAGCUCAUCAAAAUUUGGGGCGGAUCGACUUCGUUAAAGAACCCCAUAUUUCAUUCAUCUUGGCGGCUGGAUCGGUUCGAUUACUUCUUUUCAGCCCGAACUCCGUUCAACCUACAAAGAGGGGGCUUAUGUAGGGGUACUAUAUACAACAUACAUGUGGCACCAUCUCUACCGUCCAUCAUGGUGCCACAUGACAACAUCUAAUGGGCUCUCUCUUGAUGGCACAAGUUACAAAGUUAAGCAUUAUUAUUACAAAGAUAUUUUCCCCAUUAUUACCCUAUUAAUUGCUAAGAAUGGAGUUACAUUGUAGCCUAUAAAUAUAAAGGCAAACUACUCAUCUUCUCAUGGUCUCAUUGUGAAUCAUACACAAGACCUCAACUCUCUCAUGAGACCUCACCUCUCAGGUCUCAUCUCUCUCUUGAGCUCUCUCCAUUAUCGAGCUCCCAUUUUGUAUCACCACUACUAUAAUAAAGUUCAUUCUCUCUCUCCAUGGAUGUAGGCACAAUUGCUGAACCACGUAUACAAUGGUGUUCACGUCUCUACUUUAUUAUUGUUCAUAUCAUACACAUCAUCAUCUUUUAUUAAUGUAUUGACCAACCUCACAAAUAUGGUUAAUAGAGUCGUAAUAAACCAAGUAUAGACCUCACUCUGUUGACCAAUAUAAUUUAUAACUGCAAUAGAGUAUUACAUGUUCUGCCAAGGUAUAUAUGUAGGGAACAUCUAUACUAAUCAGUUCAUGAUUUUAUGUCUUACUACAUUAGUCAUUCUAAGCAUAUGAGCACCACUGCCUUGAUCAUUACUCUAUCAAGGCAUUGAAAAUUUUCCUUAUAUGCUCAUUCAAGUGCAUGAUGACUUUUUGUGCACUCUCUUCAAAAUCAAUGACAUUACUUCCCAUUAUUUAAAUUAGUUUAGAUAGUUUUUUAAAGGUGAGCAAUGCGCAUGAUACUCCAAUUGGUACUUUGAUGAAUUAAAAUUCUGAAUCGAAGUAUCAUAUACAGUCAUAGUCUUAAUUAGCGUGGCAAUUAUAUUUACAAUAUGACAUGCUUGAUUUGAAUACAUUAGUUUUUUUUUUUAAUAUAGUCAUGGUCUUAGCUCAGUUGAAAAAUACAGUCAUAGUCUUAAAAGGCAAUCACAUUCUAAAUCGAACUAUCAUAUACAGUCAUAGUCUUAAUUAGCGUGACACUUAUAUUCACAAUAUAGGAAUUUGUGAAUUUUGGUUGGUAUGGGUAGAUAAACUGCACUACAAACAAGAUUUGGACACUUUUAUAAACUACCUGAAGGUUGCUUUAUGUAGCCAUUAAGUAGAAGUUGAACAAUAGCUAAAACUUUAACUAAAGCAAAUAAAGAACAUCUGAAAUUGGGAUUAUGAUAAAUCAAUAUGACACUUUAGAGUUUCAUCCCAAAGUGGUUCCUGUUCAGGGUGAAACUAAGAUUUGUCAAGCUACCUUAGGUCUCAAACUUGCACGAAACCAGAAGGAAGUUAAAUCUGAAUUUACUAGUCUGAUUGAAAAAAUUGAAAUGUCUAUUCUAAAUGAAAGUUGGUUAAAAUGUGCUAUUUAUUUUUCUUAAUGUGAGAAUAACCUCUCCUGCUAAAAUACGAACCUUCAAAGGGCAAAUUAAAGACAAUGCCUGGAGAACACUUCUCUGGCGGCAACUAGUUGUUCGACCUUAAUUUCUAUGGAUUCAAUGGACGGUCAGUUCUAUGACAAUUUAUCCUCAGAUUUUGAUAAUUACUGUAGUUGGUUACUAACUACUAAGCCUACAUUCUUAUCAUUGUUUGAGCAUUUGCACAUGCGAUAAGCUGAUAAUAUAUUACAUUACAGAGCAAUAUAGUAUCAUUUACAUAAUUACAUGCAAUAUAGUAUCAUUAACAUAAGUUCCUACGUGGUUAUUUUAUGAGUUUGAUGGGUUAUAAAACCCUCAAGUAUUGUUUUUCUUACUUGACAGAUGGUCCUCCCCGUGAAGUAUGGGUUAUAUAAAGUCUGAUUCUUCUUACUGAUUGCUUUAUGCUGUUUGCAGUUUACAAACAGUGAAGUUAGAACUUUUGGAUUCGUUUCUCCAACUUCAUCUGCAAUUUUUGCAAAUCCUGCAAAUUUAGAAAAACCUUCAGAUAUUAUGGUAGUUCAAGAGCAGCAUGAAAACUUUUAUAGAUUGCAAAGAACUGAAGUAAGUCACAAUUGUAAUUAGGACUUAAUGAGUACAACUCUAUUAUUAGUUUUUUAUCCUUCUAGUUUAACACUUUCUACGUGUUCAAAUCUUAUGUUUUACAGGCAACUGACACUUCCAAUAGAAUUUCUCAAGACAAAUCAAUUCAGUUGAUAACAAAUGUUUUGAAUGAUAUGCCAGUAACUAAACAGAAACAAGCUAAACAAAAAAGACGAUUAAGAGAAAUGAAUAAAAAAAAAAAUCAAAUAGAACAUGUGUGCAAUGCAAAUGUAGGGAUAUCCACACGUUUUGAAAGUCAACGAAAACGAAGAGAAAAAGAAUUGAAUGAAUCUGCCCUAAUCAAGUUAGCUCGAUUUAUAACAUAUUUUUAAAAUUUUAAAUUUUAUUUCAAAUGUCUAUUAAAAAAAAACACUAUUUUUUAUUGACGGGAGUUCAUCAGUUGCAAAGAAGUAGCGACAAAGAAAACGUGAAGGCACAGAAGAACUCUAUGAAUCAACAUCAAAUAAGUAAGUUCAAUUAAUAUAUACACUAAUACUAAGAGCAUCUCUAAUGGGUCUCCCAUAUUUAGCCUACACAUGGGACGAUUUAGCCUCCAUGUAGGUGCCACCUCCUUUCCCAUCACUUUUUUUAGCAGGUCUUCCAUAAGAUCAGGGGUAUCCCUAACGCGUUUCCUAUUUUUUUUGCCAAAUUUUUAUCUUCCACGCUGGUUGGACCAGCGUGGAAUCUUUUUUCACUUUGAUCUCUGUUCCACGCUGGUUGAACCAGCGUGGAAAUUUUGGGCUAUGCUUUUCUGGACUGGACUGAGCAAAGGAGAUGGGCUUCGGUUGGACUGGGGGUGAGUUUGGGCUUCGGUUGGACUGGGCUGGCUGGGCUUCGGUUGGAGUGGCAGAGCUGGUAAUUAAAGAAAUAGUUGUGGCCUGUUGUGUAUCUAAAAUUUGUUACAAACAGUUCCACGCUGGUUAAACUGGCGUGGAAUUGAAAAAAAAAAAAAAAAAAGGUUCCACGUCGGUUUGACCAGCGUGGAAUUAAAAAAAUAAUAAAAACAAAGUUCCACGCUGGUUCAAACAUUUUAUUUUACCCAUUCCUAUAAUCCUAUCUUUGGUUCGAUUUUAGACGAAGUUUUAGCAGACCGGCCCACCACAUCCUACGUGGAUAGUCGGCUGCUAAAAUUAUAGACGACGCGUUAGGGUGCUGAUUAUUUAGGAAAACCUAAAUUAUAGGUUUUAGGAGACCCAUUAGAGAUGCUCUAAGCAUAUAAUUAUCUUAUAUUGUGAAUCUUAGGGGGAUUUAGGUUUUGAUCACUAAACAUAUAUACUAUUUAGGUUUUGGACAAUUUCUUUUGUUAAUUAGACUUUGGCCACCGGGUCAAACCCGAGUUGUAAAAAAAAACCGGGUUUUUUUGAAAUGGAUGAAUUGCCCCUGGAAAACUCACGUUAAUUGCACGCGAAUAACUUAAACCCACUGAAAAGAACAGAGCACAUGUCAAAAUCUGAACUUUAGAAGCAGAUCCAACGGCUAGCACUAAAGAGCCGUUAAACUAGCAAUUGGUCUUCUUCUUUAAAGCUAUAUAAACUUUGUAACAUGCAACAAUAGCAACAUCAACUAAACAACAUCCAUCAAACAUCAACUAAACAACACCCAUCACUUAAACUGUUUGAACAUUGUACUUGCAAACAAGAUAAUGGGUGGUUGCAACCUCUGGGUUAGUUUAAUGAUGGCUGCCUCAAUGUUUAAUCUCUAAUUAACAUAAUUACAGCAAUGCUUAAACUCAUAUUUUUUUUGUUUUUUUUUACAGGAAGUAAGCCAAAUCUACACGUCUGAAGGACACAUAGCUGAUGUUUGUCCUCGGACACAUAGCUGAUGUUUGUCCUCUACUAUAUGUGCCAUGUAACAUGGAAGGCUGCACAAGAAUCAUGAAGUUCUACGGGAAGACGGAAUUGAGUGUUUUAUGUUUCUUAAAUGCUAAUAUGACCUAUGUGGUGGACAUGAGACAAUCUAUCCUGAACAAAACCCAAUUUGGGACCAUUGCUAUAUAUACAUGCUUAAACCAGAAGAACCUAAAGCUAUUGAAGAUGAUGGCAAGGUUAAUAUUGUUGAUGUGUCUAAAGCAAUGUAAUUCCCCUGUUUUCCUCAGUUUUCCAAGCUAAUUCACAUGUAAUGGUGUGUGCAAUAUUUCAAUCAAUUUUUUUUUUAUGAACUACAAUUGCACUACAA
rnacentral:lncRNA from 1 species